GAUUAAGUUAUUAAGGGCGCACGGUGGAUGCCUUGGCACUAGAAGCCGAUGAAGGACGUUACUAACGACGAUAUGCUUUGGGGAGCUGUAAGUAAGCUUUGAUCCAGAGAUUUCCGAAUGGGGAAACCCAGCAUGAGUUAUGUCAUGUUAUCGAUAUGUGAAUACAUAGCAUAUCAGAAGGCACACCCGGAGAACUGAAACAUCUUAGUACCCGGAGGAAGAGAAAGAAAAUUCGAUUCCCUUAGUAGCGGCGAGCGAAACGGGAAGAGCCCAAACCAACAAGCUUGCUUGUUGGGGUUGUAGGACACUCUAUACGGAGUUACAAAGGACGACAUUAGACGAAUCAUCUGGAAAGAUGAAUCAAAGAAGGUAAUAAUCCUGUAGUCGAAAAUGUUGUCUCUCUUGAGUGGAUCCUGAGUACGACGGAGCACGUGAAAUUCCGUCGGAAUCUGGGAGGACCAUCUCCUAAGGCUAAAUACUCUCUAGUGACCGAUAGUGAACCAGUACCGUGAGGGAAAGGUGAAAAGCACCCCGGAAGGGGAGUGAAAGAGAUCCUGAAACCGUGUGCUUACAAGUAGUCAGAGCCCGUUAAUGGGUGAUGGCGUGCCUUUUGUAGAAUGAACCGGCGAGUUACGAUUUGAUGCAAGGUUAAGCAGUAAAUGUGGAGCCGUAGCGAAAGCGAGUCUGAAUAGGGCGUUUAGUAUUUGGUCGUAGACCCGAAACCAGGUGAUCUACCCAUGUCCAGGGUGAAGUUCAGGUAACACUGAAUGGAGGCCCGAACCCACGCACGUUGAAAAGUGCGGGGAUGAGGUGUGGGUAGCGGAGAAAUUCCAAUCGAACCUGGAGAUAGCUGGUUCUCCCCGAAAUAGCUUUAGGGCUAGCCUUAAGUGAAGAGUCUUGGAGGUAGAGCACUGAUUGGACUAGGGGUCCUCAUCGGGUUACCGAAUUCAGACAAACUCCGAAUGCCAAUUAAUUUACCUUAGGAGUCAGAACAUGAGUGAUAAGAUCCGUAGUCAAAAGGGAAACAGCCCAGACCACCAGCUAAGGUCCCAAAAUAUAUGUUAAGUGGAAAAGGAUGUGGCGUUGCCCAGACAACUAGGAUGUUGGCUUAGAAGCAGCCAUCAUUUAAAGAGUGCGUAAUAGCUCACUAGUCGAGUGACACUGCGCCGAAAAUGUACCGGGGCUAAACAUAUUACCGAAGCUGUGGAUUGUCCUUUGGACAAUGGUAGGAGAGCGUUCUAAGGGCGUUGAAGCAUGAUCGCAAGGACAUGUGGAGCGCUUAGAAGUGAGAAUGCCGGUGUGAGUAGCGAAAGACGGGUGAGAAUCCCGUCCACCGAUUGACUAAGGUUUCCAGAGGAAGGCUCGUCCGCUCUGGGUUAGUCGGGUCCUAAGCUGAGGCCGACAGGCGUAGGCGAUGGAUAACAGGUUGAUAUUCCUGUACCACCUAUAAUCGUUUUAAUCGAUGGGGGACGCAGUAGGAUAGGCGAAGCGUGCGAUUGGAUUGCACGUCUAAGCAGUAAGGCUGAGUAUUAGGCAAAUCCGGUACUCGUUAACUGCGAGUCGUUGAUUUCACACUGCCAAGAAAAGCCUCUAGAUAGAAAAUAGGUGCCCGUACCGCAAACCGACACAGGUAGUCAAGAUGAGAAUUCUAAGGUGAGCGAGCGAACUCUCGUUAAGGAACUCGGCAAAAUGACCCCGUAACUUCGGGAGAAGGGGUGCUCUUUAGGGUUAACGCCCAGAAGAGCCGCAGUGAAUAGGCCCAAGCGACUGUUUAUCAAAAACACAGGUCUCUGCUAAACCGUAAGGUGAUGUAUAGGGGCUGACGCCUGCCCGGUGCUGGAAGGUUAAGAGGAGUGGUUAGCUUCUGCGAAGCUACGAAUCGAAGCCCCAGUAAACGGCGGCCGUAACUAUAACGGUCCUAAGGUAGCGAAAUUCCUUGUCGGGUAAGUUCCGACCCGCACGAAAGGCGUAACGAUUUGGGCACUGUCUCAACGAGAGACUCGGUGAAAUCAUAGUACCUGUGAAGAUGCAGGUUACCCGCGACAGGACGGAAAGACCCCGUGGAGCUUUACUGUAGCCUGAUAUUGAAAUUCGGCACAGCUUGUACAGGAUAGGUAGGAGCCUUUGAAACGUGAGCGCUAGCUUACGUGGAGGCGCUGGUGGGAUACUGUGUUGGCUUUCUAACCCGCACCACUUAUCGUGGUGGGAGACAGUGUCAGGCGGGCAGUUUGACUGGGGCGGUCGCCUCCUAAAAGGUAACGGAGGCGCUCAAAGGUUCCCUCAGAAUGGUUGGAAAUCAUUCAUAGAGUGUAAAGGCAUAAGGGAGCUUGACUGCGAGACCUACAAGUCGAGCAGGGUCGAAAGACGGACUUAGUGAUCCGGUGGUUCCGCAUGGAAGGGCCAUCGCUCAACGGAUAAAAGCUACCCCGGGGAUAACAGGCUUAUCUCCCCCAAGAGUCCACAUCGACGGGGAGGUUUGGCACCUCGAUGUCGGCUCAUCGCAUCCUGGGGCUGUAGUCGGUCCCAAGGGUUGGGCUGUUCGCCCAUUAAAGCGGUACGCGAGCUGGGUUCAGAACGUCGUGAGACAGUUCGGUCCCUAUCCGUCGUGGGCGUAGGAAAUUUGAGAGGAGCUGUCCUUAGUACGAGAGGACCGGGAUGGACGCACCGCUGGUGUACCAGUUGUUCUGCCAAGGGCAUAGCUGGGUAGCUAUGUGCGGAAGGGAUAAGUGCUGAAAGCAUCUAAGCAUGAAGCCCCCCUCAAGAUGAGAUUUCCCAGCGUAAGCUAUAAGAUCCCUGAAAGAUGAUCAGGUUGAUAGGUUCGAGGUGGAAGCAUGGUGACAUGUGGAGCUGACGAAUACUAAUAGAUCGAGGACUUAACCAU
rnacentral:rRNA from 1 species